CAAAGGCUUGGUCCUGACUUUACUAUCAGCUUUAACUGAACUUACACAUGCAAGUCUCCGCAUUCCU
rnacentral:rRNA from 1 species